rnacentral:snoRNA from 2 species
GUCUAUGAUGAUUUAUCCGUUCGUUUGAGGUGUAGAUUUCCUCAAGACCCUGCUUACAGGGAGAACCUACUUGGGGUGCUGCAUCAUUCAUGAAAUUACUGGAUUUUGCUGAGAC